GUCCAACAUGAUGUGAUGAGGUUAGAAAUAUGAUUUGUGAUGGAAUUCCUCAGUAAGAAAACUGUAUUUUUUUGGAAAAAUCUGCCUUGAUAAUUUUGCUUGGAAGUUUUCAGUUCAUUCCAAGGGAUCUGAGUCCUGCUUUUUCUUCCAGAGAGGUCAGAGCAAAGGAAGAAGACACUGUGUGACAAGUCCAGGCAAAUGGAGAAAAAUGUGAUUUCUUCCCAUGAACUUGUGAAACUUUAGGAAAGUUUUAGUAUGCAUGAAAUCAUUGGUUUGAAUUGAACGUUUGUGGAAAUUUAACCAACAAGCUGAAUUUUGGAUCUAGAUCAGCAGAGGCUGAAACAAGGCAGCACACACAGAGCCAGGGCGAAGAUCACAUAUGGUAUGAGAUUUCGUCAGAAAUUUGUGGGGCGCAUGGAUCGUCCUGGUCAUCAAAAUGAGGAAGUCGUGCCUUUGGAGCACACAGAGUGACUUUGACUUCAUCCAGGAGGAGAACAAGGCUGAGUGAACAGUGCCACCCAGGAUGCUCAUCACAACAGUAAAGUGAAAGGAGGAAGUGAUGCAACAGUGCCAUUGUUCCAAAGUAGAAGGAAAAGCUGAACAGAAGGCUCUCUCUCCAGAUUCCACAUGUUUACUGGACGGUUCUCGAUGUUGACCAUUCUGAGUUACUAUUCCCUGGUACAUAAUAUAUCCUCUCAUGUUUGUUUACCAAGAAGAACGACAAUAGCCAAAGGGUCCUUCUUUUAACCCUAAACCACAGCAAACAUUGUCUCCAGAAGGGCCUCGGUUAUCUAAGGAGCCUUGGGCUACCAUGAAAUGUGCAGAGGAAACAAUUCACCCCUGUUCACCCAUGUUCGCUAUCACCACCUCGUGCGUGGCUUAGGAUGGCGGGGUGGAGUCUUUCCUAAUCAUGCAACACUCUGUGCCCCUGACAGAAGAAUCUCAGGGGAGUGUCCACCAAGGUCUACCAUGACAAGUCUUCCAGGAAGGGCAAUGUGGUUCAGACCAAAGAGCACCAGAGUGGAAGGACAGAGGACAAUGUGCCUGUCAUAGCUCUUCUGCUGGUCAUAUGAUCAUGCAUGGAUCUCCUUUCACAUAGAAUGGUGGUAACAUGUAUUCCCUGGUGAGAGCAAAGGGCAAUCAAUGUGUGGCAUAAGUUAGGCCAGUGAUAUGUAAGUGGUGUUGCAGUCUGUAGUAUGCUGGGCAAGUGUAAGUUAUCACUCAGAUUUGAUUCCGAGGAGGCCCUGCCCGACCUGCCAAGUCCCUCCAAGCUGCCUGGAUCAGGGCCUGGUAUCUCGUCCAGAUCGGAACAGUCGGAGUCCAGUAGGAAUAGUAGGGACAGAGUAACCCUCAGAGCUUGUGUUUUCCAUUCCGACAGCUCAUUUAUCCCACCGUAUCUGUUUCUCCCUGUGCCUCGAAGCCAGCACCCCAGGGACGUGACCCAGUUGCCUUGCCGCCCACAGAGCUUCCUUCCCAGAGCCUUCCUCCCCACCCCGAAGGACACAGGAGAGCAACUUGCUCCCCCGUGCUCAUGCCCCCACGGCUCAUUGUCCACAGGCCACACCGCAGUGUGCUCUUCACCACAGGACUUUGUCCCUGUUGCCUCUUAAUCCCACGUCCAGGUCUUGGAGCCAUCAGUAUAAUUUCCCUGUCAUUAGCAAUGUGCUCACGAUGUACUUUCCUCACUAUGACUCAGAAUGACUUCAGGUCCUUCGAACAAUUGAAGUCCUUUGUAGACUAAGAGUUGGUGUUGAUAAUGUCCAAAUGGAUUGGGUCAAUUUUCCGUCCUCAGACAGGCCCUAACCAGGAAACAGAAUUGCAGGGAAAUGGAAACCAGAUUCAAAAAGAUACAUGAAGAUGAAAUCCGGGUAUGGAGAACACAGCUUUCCAGGAAGGGCUGAAACAACUAGAAUUAUUUUGGCUUGAGGGUGAAGUACACAAAAUGCAGGCUGGCUCUUUCCCGUCGCCACCAAAGAGGGAAACAACAGAAAGGUCUUCAGAUAGGGCAAGAAGGAUUUA